rnacentral:lncRNA from 1 species
UGAAAAAUGUCAAAAAUAUCAAAUCAGUCAAUGAGUCCUGAAAUUUUCUUAGUGUGAAUAUGUAAGUGUCUUAACAAGAGAAGGUAAAAUUAGGAUAUUAAACGGGAAUAAAGAAUACACGGAUAUAAAAACAUAGUACCACGUGUAAAAAAACAAAUAAACUUUCCACGACACUCUGAGCCUUGAAAAGUUCUUUUUGAGGCACCGAAACUUGAAAUUUUAAAAUAAAAAGAUACAGAAGAGAUGAGCAUUUUAGCCCACGGGUCACAGCAUGCAUACAGGUCUGCGAACCUAAACACAACGAGAAAAAGAAAAACUUACCUAGCCUAGCCAGACCCACUACUACUAGCGUCUCACGGUCGAUGAUACGCUACAACCUGGCAACCAGCCACUCGCCGCGGCGCAAAUCUUUACGUCUACAUCGAUGGCUGGCAUGAUCGAGAGAAAAUUUGGUGUCCAGUUAAUUAAACCUGUCAAAUACCGUCACAACAUGCCCACGAUGCCGUAACGGAACAUGACAUCACGGGGACACACCCGCCGACCUGACUACCGACACACACUC